CCUACGGGUGGCAGCAGUGGGGAAUAUUGGACAAUGGGGGAACCCUGAUCCAGCCAUGCCGCGUGUGUGAAGAAGGCCCUCGGGUUGUAAAGCACUUUCAGUGAGGAAGAACGCCUGGUGGUUAAUACCCAUCAGGAAAGACAUCACUCACAGAAGAAGCACCGGCUAACUCCGUGCCAGCAGCCGCGGUAAUACGGAGGGUGCGAGCGUUAAUCGGAAUUACUGGGCGUAAAGCGCGCGUAGGUGGCUUGAUAAGCCGGUUGUGAAAGCCCCGGGCUCAACCUGGGAACGGCAUCCGGAACUGUCAAGCUAGAGUGCAGGAGAGGAAGGUAGAAUUCCCGGUGUAGCGGUGAAAUGCGUAGAGAUCGGGAGGAAUACCAGUGGCGAAGGCGGCCUUCUGGACUGACACUGACACUGAGGUGCGAAAGCGUGGGUAGCAAACAGGAUUAGAUACCCGGGUAGUC
rnacentral:rRNA from 1 species